UUCUGCCCCNUGGACACCCUAAAUGGCCGCGGUAUCCUAACCGUGCAAAGGNAGNNUAAUAAUUUGCCUCUUAAUUAGAGGCUAGAAUGAAUGAAUAAACACAAGUCCGCCUUUACCCUGAGUUCAAAUAAAAAUUAUUCUUUAGGUGAAGAAACCUAAAUACUAUAAAAAGACAAGAAGACCCUAUCAAGCUUUAUAUUUAUUAUCUUUAUAAGAUGUAAAAUAUUUGGUUGGGGCGACUAAUGAAAUCUAAUAUUCUUUCAUAUCAAAUAUGAAAAUACUUCUAACAAUUUAACAAUUUAAAAGAAACAAGCUACUGUAGGGAUAACAGGCUAAUAAUUUCUAAGAGUCCAAAUUAAAGAAAUUGAUUGGCACCUCGAUGUUGGCUUAGGGCCCCGCCCUUCCGCAGGAGGAAGAAACGGUAGAUUGUUCAUCUAUUAAAAUCCU
rnacentral:rRNA from 1 species